UGGAGGGAGGGACUAUAGGUGGAGGGAGGACUAUAGGUGGAGGGAGGGGGACCAUAGGUGGAGGGAGGGACUAUAGGUGGAGGGAGAGAGGACUAUAGGUCGAGGUAGGGGGACUAUAGGUGGAGGGAGGGGGACUGUAGGUGGAGGUAGGACUAUAGGUGGAGGGAGGGGGACUAUAGGUAGAGGGAGGACUAUUGUUGAAGGGAGGGGGACUAUAGGUGGAGGGAGGGACUAUAGGUGGAGGGAGGACUAUAGGUGGAGGGAGGGGGACC
ensembl:lncRNA